CCUACGGGUGGCAGCAGUGGGGAAUAUUGCACAAUGGGGGGAACCCUGAUGCAGCGACGCCGCGUGAGUGAAGAAGUAUUUCGGUAUGUAAAGCUCUAUCAGCAGGGAAGAAAAUGACGGUACCUGACUAAGAAACCCCGGCUAAAUACGUGCCAGCAACCGCGGUAAUACGUAGGGGGCAAGCGUUAUCCGGAUUUACUGGGUGUAAAGGGAGAGGAGACGGCUGUGCAAGUCUGGAGUGAAAGGCGGGGGCACAACCCCCGGACUGCUCUGGAAACUGUAAAGCUGGAGUGCAGGAGGGGUAAGCGGAAUUCCUAGUGUAGCGGUGAAAUGCGUAGAUAUUAGGAGGAACACCAGUGGCGAAGGCGGCUUACUGGACUGCAACUGACGUUGAGGCUCGAAAGCGUGGGGAGCAAACAGGAUUAGAUACCCGAGUAGUC
rnacentral:rRNA from 1 species